GUGCUCGCUUCAGCAGCACACAUACUAAAAUAGGAACGAUACAGAGAAGAUUAGCAUGGCCCCCGCAUAAGGAUGACACAAAUAUUUGUGAAGUGUUCCGUAUUAAA